AGCACAAAACAUGGCGGCGGUGUGAGGCGGCGCCGCGCUGCCCGCUCCGCGGUGCACAGCUCCGCAUGGCAGGCUCUGACACACCGAAGGGAAUAACCCGCCCGUCCUCGGCGUGUGGACAAUGAACGCGCUUACAUGGAGUUUUACCACAAUAUAGAUUUACGUUGUUUGUAUUCAACUCCAUAGUUCUGUUAACAGCCACCUGACAGGUCUCCUCCAGCCAGCGGUCUCAUUAACCCAGGUAUAACCACCUCAAAAGCAAUACUCCGCAUCUCCCGUUAUUACAAAUAGCUUUUAAAAGGAAGGGAGAAUGGUUUACUUUCUCCGGGAAAACACAUCAUGCUAAUUUUAAUCUCCUAAAUUCUGUUGGAAUAACAGGAAACAUCGGAGUGCUGAGCUGGGAAUGAGGGGCAUAAGGAAGGGAAGGAAGACGGGGGCUGUCAGAAGCACUGCCAGCCGCUCUCCCAUCUCAGCAACCACUACUCUGGAAGGCGUUAAAGAACCACUCGGAAGAGUCUCAAAAUCACUGCAGUUGCCCAUUUUGGGGUCCCAAGACAAAGACUAACGAGGAACCCAUAACCUCACCUCUGCAACACAAGUCACAUCCACCUUUUGGCACUGCUGUAGGGCUGCUGCAGGCCCUGUAUUUUCUGCUACAGCAACGCUGACAGCUCUAAUGCAGGCAGAAUGGUAUUCUUGCCACCUAAACCUGUUUUAAACAGAGCUAACGAGCACUGAUUUUUUUCAGAUACAAAGAAAGAAGCCAUUAGUUCUGCAAUAACAACUCUUGAGCGUUGCCGCAAUAGUAGAAGUUUUCCCAAAAGUGGCUUGUGCCUAAAAUGGCAAAGAGAAAGCAACAUGAAAACCUGUAAAAAUCGCUCCAAAUAAGCUAAAGGGCAAAAGUUUAAAGGCAACAGAAGGAGAAGCAACCCCUGUAAUUGUGGUAAAACACAGAGCUGUUUUUCCUCAGUAUUCUCAAGCACAGGUAGUAAAAAAGUUUUCAUCAUCUUUUUUCUUUCGGCCCAAAGCAUGUUUUUUAAAGUUGGAAUAAAUACAUUUAGCAAAAAAAAA
rnacentral:lncRNA from 1 species